rnacentral:rRNA from 1 species
UACGAAGGUGGCUAGCGUUGUUCGGAUUUAUUGGGCGUAAAGGGUCCGCAGGCGGUUUGAUAAGUCAGGUGUGAAAUCCCACAGCUUAACUGUGGACACGCAUUUGAUACUGUUAGACUAGAGUAUGAGAGGGGUGAGAGGAAUUUCCAGUGUAGGGGUGAAAUCCGUAGAUAUAGGAAAGAACACCGGCCGCGAAGGCGUUUCACUGGCUCAUUACUGACGCUCAGGGACGAAAGCCAGGGGAGCAAACGGG